GAGGGUACAGCUCAGUGGUAGAGUGCUUGCCUAGCAUGCAUGAGGUCCUGGGUUCAAUCCCCAGUGCCUCA
rnacentral:tRNA from 1 species